rnacentral:rRNA from 1 species
UACGAGUGCUCCAAGCGUUAUCCGGAAUUAUUGGGCGUAAAGGGUGUGUAGGUUGACCUGUUAGUCAGAUGUUAAAACUUCCCGCUUAACGGGAAAAGGGCAUUUGAAACGGCAGGACUAGAGGAUGCGAGAGGUGAACAGAACUCAUGGCGUAGGGGUGAAAUCCGUUGAUAUCAUGGGGAAUACCAAAUGCGAAGGCAGUUCACUGGCGCACUCCUGACACUGAAACACGAAAGCGUGGGUAGCGAACUGG